UGAUGUCGCACUGGGGUUGGGUGGGUCCCUAAUCCAAUUGGACUGGCAUCUUUAUAAAUUUGGGGAAGUUUGGCACAGAUGUGCACACGGGGCGAACGUGCCUUAUGAAAAUGAAAGCAGAGAUCGGGGUGAUAGGGCCGAAGCCAAGAGCCCCAAAGACUGCCCACGAACUUCCAGAAGCAAGGAGGCUAGCCAAGGAGUCUGGCAUGGAACAGAUUCUCGCUCACAGCCCUCAGGAGGACCCAACCUUGUGGAUGCCUUGAUCUUGGACUUCUGGCCCCAGAACUGCGAGAGACUCAGUAUGUGGUGUUUCGGCCCCUUGUUGUGGCACUUGCUUACGGCAGCCCUGUGAAGCUCACGCAAAGGGCAUUGGCAUGGAGGGGAAAGAGAAAGAACUGCCCGGUGGCAUCUAAUGAACUGGAGAGAUUCUGGGUGUUGAGAGGAGAGAGAGAGCGUACAGGUGGGAAGAGUGGCAGGCAGAGAGAGAGGGAGAAGCGGACCUCGCCCCCAGCCACGAUACGAGGAAACUGAGGCCCAGGGAGAGAGAUGGGUGGUUCGAGGUGAUACUGCUGUGCCUGGGCACAGCAAGAACAGCAGAAAUCUCCUGAAUCUUGUUUCGGGGUGUCCAGCACCACGGGGUACUACCUUCCUGGAUCUAUCAGAGUCUUGCAGAAAGUCCAGAGUCUCAUGGAUGGAACAAAUGUCUUUGGAGGAAAUCAGCCACCAGGAGCUAAGAAUCUGUAUUUGGUAUCUCAGCACUGCUGGAGGUGGUGAAAGAGGAGAGAGAACAGACACAAAAAGACUGAGGCUGAGCCCCAGUCAAAGGGUGGGGUUGGAAACUUUCGGGUUGCUUGGUGGUAUUUUGAGACCUCAGUUGACUUUAAUGACUUCCUCUGUAAGAAUAAGAUAAGCAGACAAGACUGGGGCCCCAGUAGCAUCAAGAGUUGAUUCUCAAGUUGAUUCUCCAAGAUCAUACCUGUCACAACCACAGUGCAUGGAGGGAACAUGUGGAUGUUGAGUGUGGACCUUGCCCUUAGCCAGGGGUUGGUUAGAAGGAUGGCUGGGAGGGGAUCCCCGGGUGGCUCAGGGAUUUAGCGCCUAGGGCAUGAUCCUGGAGUCCUGGGAUCAAUCCAUCCCUGCAUGGAGCCUGCUUCUCCCUCUGCCUGUGUCUCUGUCUCUGUCUCUCUCUGAAUCUCAUAAACAAAUUUAAAAAAAUUAAAAAAAAGAAGGAUGGCUGGAUGGGUGUCACAGCUUCUGUGUCAUCUCCUUCUUCAAAGGGUCUCUUUCCCUGUUUUUAAGAGCCUAGUGUUAAGACGAUUCCUACACCAGGCUGGCAGGGAACAACCAUGAACCACAUAAAUAUAUCCAUUAAAACCAAACUAAAUGUAUCUUCAACUCAAUUUCU